CGUCACCGCCACAGCCUCACAGCCGCACAGCCGCUCCUCACACACGCCUGCGGGGCCGCCCGAUGCAGUCCUCAUUUACGUCCAAGCAGCUGUGACUCAUCGUUCUGAAACGCAUACGCCGCUGAGGUCGCAGCAGGCGUCCAACAAAAUUCCGAGAAGGU